AUUUAUCAGCUUUUCAUCUCAAUUAAUGCAUCAAACUUAUGAACAUAGGCCCAACCCAUUAUCGUCGUUGCAGCCAAAGUGGUGCAUGGUUCAAGUCUAGGUCGGACCACUAGCUCAUGCCCUGUGCGUAUGAUUUCCAACGAUGUGACAUAUAUGGGGCCUUCGUUAGGUCUUGAGUUACCACGAAGAAGUUUGAUGUGCAGCUUGUUGUGUUCUCUGAUGCCUCCUAGCCCUAGUUU
rnacentral:lncRNA from 1 species